UCUAUGAAAUUGGGCCCUGGUCAAAGUCCGGGUAAGAAAACUAACUCUUCCCUGCACAGCCUUUAAACAUAAUAUGUUUAAAAGCCUGUGCAGGGAAGAUUAUCAUGGUAACUGUAUGGUAUCAGACCAAACUCGUCACUUAAACUCAUUUUACGAAAUAAAUGCUAAUCUUGUUAGAUUUAAGUUUUCUUUCAAUAUGCAGAUUAUGGUUUCUUCUGGACACGAUGAGCUGGUCUAACUGCCAACAUCUUCAGCUAAAGGUGGUCUACCAGCAAGGUCAUGGCAAUGAAGGAAUGAACAUGAGCAGAUGACCACAUCUUUGAUGUCUCUGAUGUGUGACCUAAGGUCAGCGAGGUCAACAAGUCUUGUGCAGUGAUGACUACAGCCUGAGCUGUGGCGAGGUGCAUCGGCGGAGGAGGCAGAUAGGAGAAAGUCAACAACAGACUGCAUGAUUAUUCACCAAAGGUCAACUGUACAAGAUGUGCUCAGCUGGACCAUGAUGGCGCCCUACUUACUGUAAGAUGAUACUCGAGGAGAAG